rnacentral:tRNA from 1 species
GGGGGUAUAACCGAAGUGGUUAACGUUCUUCUUCCAAAGAGGAUAGUCCGAGGUUCUAUUCCGCGGGGGUAACCCC